GCUAACUGGUGAGCCAACAGGGCAACAGUACAUUUGCAUGUACUCCAACCUCCAGAGACAAACAACCGUCUAACUGUACCGAAUAUACAUUUGAAAUUCAAAACAUAUUUACAUAUAAAUGUAGCUAAAGUGGAAACUAUGUUUCUAAAGAGGGGAGGAGAAAGGUGGAUCUAUAACCUGAUGCUCUGUGACUGUGGCUGUAUCUCUGAUGCCUCAUCCAAUGACCCCACUCAACUUGCUGAGAACGACACACACUAGUUGCAAUGCUGCAGCCAACCCCUCUGUUCCUGUUGCUGGCAACCUUCCUCCUACCUGCGUGUGGGAAGCAGAUAUCUGAGGUGUCUGUACUGGAGGGAUCCACUGUGACCCUUCACUGCCCUACAGCUGGGGGGGUCAAAACAACAUGCUGGAAACGAUCUUGUAAACAUUGUGACUGUAUACAAAACAGUUUUAAAAAAAAUUGGAUGACCGACGCAAUGGACCUUGUAAUUUCCAAUAUUCAUCCAGAGCACAGUGGGACAUACAGCUGUUAUAUUGACAAUACAAUUGCCUACUGUAGUUACAAUCUGACGGUGGUGAAAGACUGUACAAGGGACCUCAUGGACAAAACCGCCUUCCCUGGAAAUAACAUUUGGAAUAACUCUCGAGUCUCAACAGCUUUGAAUUGUAGAGAAAAGUGCACUGAAUCACGGAGAUGCCAGUUCUUCACAUUUUAUAAAUUUAAGUAAUAUGUUUUUAGACUUUGUGUUAUGGGAAAACAAAUUAUGUUUAUGCAAUUAAAUAAUUACCAAACAACACAUAUUUAUUACCUGAUAUUUAUGUGGAAAGAAUAAUCACUGUGUCUAUAUUUUGACUUCCAGCAACGAGAAGGUAUGCUACCUGAAGGCCUCAACUGCUGGUACAACAUCAAUUUAUAUAACAUAUUUUGAGACCGGAACCACAGGCUAUUCUUUGAGAAACUGCAGUGGUAAAGGUAUGGCGGCGGGAAUUAGGGGUGCUGAGGGUGUUGCAGCACCCCCUGCUGACAGCACGAAAAUUUAAAAUACUAUGACAUAAAAUCCAUCACCACGGCACCGCCACCCCCCCCCCCCAGCACCCCCCUGAUGAAAUAUGUUCCCACGGCUAUGUUUUGAUCUACCCAGCCAAGAAGUACACACUUGUCAGUGAGGUGAAGAACUGGACGGAGGCACGAGCCUACUGUCAGCAGCACUACACAGACCUGGCCAGCAUCCACACAGCAGCAGACUGGGAGGCUGUCAGACAAGUGCUGAGAAACUCCAGGGGAGUCUGGAUUGGUCUACACAGAGAAGACUCUGACAAACCAUGGAAGUGGUCAACUGGGGAGAACCUCACAUACUUCAACUGGAACAUUAACCUCCCGAUCUGGCAUGGAUUUGAGUGUGUCUAUUCCUUAAAGUCUACUUGGAAUCAAAUACCCUGUAGUGCUACAAAUGUAGUGAACCAUGUGUGUCAGGAAGUUAAUCAAAUAAAUGGAAGAACAACUAAAACAUAUGAAAACGUUGCUGGAGGUAAUAUACAUAAUAUGUCGGCUGCUCAGUUGGACUGUCAGAGUCGAAAUAAAACUCUGGCCAGUAUCCUCAACCAGGAAGAGCAAGAUGCCUUUGAUGAAGUGGCUGAGUCAGAAAGGCUUACAUGGAUUGGGCUUCAUUAUGAUCAGACCAUCGACAAGUGGAAGUGGUCCAGUGAGGAGCCAUUUGAAGCAUGGGCUGAUUCCAUGAAGGGACAAAAGAAUUGUGUGAAAUACUCAAAAAGAAAAUGGAAACUUGGCAAUUGCCAUAGAAAAAAGUGUUUCUUGUGUUUUGAUGAAGAAAAUGCAGUGAAUAACACCACUGAAGAUGCUACCACUUCUAGACCUGACUACCUGCACUACUACAACACAUCCAAAACCUGGCUUGCUGCCCUGGAGUUCUGUAAGGAGCAGAACUCCACCCUCGUCCACAUUACCAACUCCACUGUGCAAGAUGAUGUGACCAGGCUCCUGGGCAGUGAGGAUCUGCCUGGGGGAGUGUGGAUAGGGCUGGAAAGGUACAUCUUCCAGUCUAACGCUCGCUGGGUGUGGGUCAGUGAUCCGAAUGUGAGCUUUACCCAGUGGCACGAAUGCUUUCCCCUCAACACUCCUACCCUCUAUUGUGGUAAGAUGAUCUGGGAUGAUGAUGACGACACACUAAAGUGGCUGGGUGCCUCUUGUCAGGAGGAACUCCCUUUCAUCUGUCAAGAUCUUCACCACUAGAGGGCUCUUUACAUGUCAGUCUGGACUGGAGGAUCUCAUUAACCACUAACCCAGGAUGAUGUGAUCUACAUUUCCCUUUAAUAUCAUUAAGAAUCAUCAUAUAUUACAUAUUUUCUAUACAUCUUAAUGCAUAGUCAUAAAAAGAUAUAAAGCAUGUGUGCAUCUAUUGAUAAUCCACGUUAAAUGAUUCAUACAUUCAAAUACUAGAACAGUUUGAACCAUUGUUAUACUUUAAACUUUCACUCUGUUUUAACUUUUACUUUGGGUAAAAUGGGCAUUCUUUGUGUGUUUUGUUUAAAAAAUAAAGGUAAUUUGAGUUUAUUGUGAUCAGCUUGUUUUUGUUCAACUUUUUUGUGUGCCUUUAACUAAGCAGGGAAACAGGAUAAUUAGAAGCAUUUGUAACAAACUUGCUAAUCGUCAAUGUCAGAGCAUGAGUGUUCCUGGUCUUGAAUAAACCACCCUGUUAACGUUGGUGAGGAUGACUGGAUGAAAGUGACAUGACAGUGAUGUUGCUGUUUCACCAACCCAGCACCCCUCAGUCAUAACCAGCUCUGCUUGUGUUUCAAUGUGCCAUAACAGGAAACCAGUAAAUCAGUGGGAGAAAUACAGCUUCUACGAUUAGUUUGUCUGACUGAGGAGGACUGUUCCUGUUUUUUUUGUCUGUCGGUUGUAGCAACCAGGGGAGUCAGACCAGCCAAUCUGGGCCCAAAGGCGAGUCCAUCGACUUCAAUUGGGGGAGGUGAUAGAGGGAGUUUAUCUGCCUGUCGAGGUGCUGCAGCCACUGGGCACAUGGCACUGGUCACACCUGGAGCCCAUCAGAUAAGUGGCGAGGGCUUAAAGGGAGCCAGCCCAAGGCCGCAGGGGAGGGGAACGAACCAGAGAGACAA